CCUGCAAGCAAAGGUUAGUUUAGGUAUUAGGUUAAUGACGUAAGUAACAAAAUUGUAUAUAAUGCUUCCCUCAAAACUCUGUAUGUAUUUAUAGCAUUCUUUGCUGUCUAAGCAGAGAAAUUUCAUUACUUGAGUAUGCCUUCUUGUUUUAAUCUGUCCUUAUCUUUGUCAUACUGUUUUACCUCAGUUGAAUGUUUAUAGAUGAAGUUAUGAACUCUUCCAGCUUUUCCAGUUUGAAGAGGAAAAAUCAAGAGCACAAAUCAACAAGCAAUAGCUCUGAAAGCCAACACAGCUGUCAAACAGCAAGAAGGUUUUGUUUCCCUCUUAUACUGCUCAAUUGCUAAUUAUAUUCUAGUUAUUACGUUUGUAUUUAUUUUUAAAGGCUAACACACCCAUAGCUUUACUUAAUUACGGUGGGAUUAAAUAAGCAUGAAUAAUAAAAGUAUUUGUUAUUCUGGGGCAAUGAACUGAAACUUUUUAUGCAGCCAUGAAUUGAGAAGAGGGAUAAAUGAAUUGGAGACCACUAGAAAAAAUAAUUCAGGUCUCAGAAAUGAAGCUGCAUCUGGAAAACUCAAAAUCAUACCAUAAGCUGAGCACAGUAUUGAUAAUGUUGUAAAUUUAUGCUAGGGAAUAUGACAAGAUUUAAUAUUGCUAUUUUAAAUGCUAUAUUCUCUUUAAAUAAAGAAAAUGGAAUGUCUUAA